rnacentral:tRNA from 1 species
GCCCCGGUAGCUCAGUGGAUAGAGCGGCCGCCUCCUAAGCGGCAGGUCAUAGGUUCGACUCCUAUCCGGGGCA